CAGUGUAGUCUAGGAGGCUGCAUGACCAUAAACCGAGUGUCCUUGGGCUAGAUCCAGUUUUUACACAGAAAGUUUCACGUGCUGAGAAACCUUGUUGAUCUCAGGCAACCCAGUGUCCACAACUCCACCUGGAGCCUGGGCCAGAGGACACAAAGGGACAAGUCAUGGGCCACCUGCCGAUAGCUGUUUCCACAGUGUGGGAAGAGGAGGGGCAGGGCAGCCCUUGAGAGCCAUUGACGGCUGCACAGCCCAGGUCUGCCCUACAGGUCUUUUCCAGGUCAUAAGCCCAUACCCUGUGCUUUAACAAUGUCAUCACUGUGAAUAUGGACAUCCAUCGGUGGGUGAGCUCUGUUCACACCUCCGGUCUGAGCCCACAUUGCCUGCCUUAGCUUUCCUCUUUCCCUGGAUGUACAAGUGCCAGAGACAUAAGUGGCAGCCUCCAACCGGCCUCCAUGCUUCCAGCCAAUGCUCCAGCUUUCUCCACCCCUCUCCCCUCCCCCCUGACCUUUGCCCUCCCGGCAGCAUCUGGACAGUCACCAGCCAGAAGCCACAGUCUCAUCAUGGUUCCACAGGCGCAUGGGCUGCUGCUUCUCUGCUUUCUGCUCCAGCUCCAGGGACCUCUAGGGACUGCAGUUUUCAUAACCCAGGAGGAAGCACAUGGUGUCCUACACAGGCAAAGGCGUGCCAACUCACUCCUGGAGGAGCUUUGGCCCGGCUCUCUGGAGAGAGAGUGCAAUGAGGAACAGUGCUCCUUUGAGGAGGCCCGGGAGAUCUUCAAGAGCCCUGAGAGGACCAAGCAGUUCUGGAUUGUUUACAGUGAUGGGGACCAGUGUGCCUCGAAUCCAUGUCAGAACGGAGGUACCUGCCAGGAUCAUCUCAAGUCUUACGUCUGCUUCUGCCUCCUAGACUUUGAGGGUCGGAACUGUGAGAAAAGCAAGAAUGAGCAGCUGAUCUGUGCAAAUGAAAAUGGUGACUGUGACCAGUACUGCAGGGACCAUGUAGGGACCAAGCGUACCUGUAGCUGUCAUGAGGACUACACGCUACAGCCAGAUGAGGUGUCCUGCAAACCAAAAGCCUUCGCAGUGGGUGGCGCCCGAGUCUGCCUUAAGGACCCUGUCUUCCUGUGCUGGUGGCCCAUGCUUACACAGAUCGUCACUUUCUUCAUAGCGAACCAGAACGACACGUUCUCCCUGUGAGGCUCUGGCAGACCCCAGCUCUAGAAAGCAGGUCCUCAGCUGUCCCCACACCGUUGUCUGCCUCCUCUCCUAGCCGCUGCACAAGGCCCUCCCUGCCCACUCUAGAAGUAAGCCCCAAGUUCCUCUGUCCUGAGGCCUCUCACUGCCCCCAGCAGGAGCCAUGGCAGCAGCCAACUGCUUCUCAUCCCACAGUCACCUUCGCCUCUGCACCCUGCUCUCUCUGACUUCUGUUUCAUACAGUUGAGUACCCGUGUGGGAGAAUACCUGUUGUAGAAAAAAGAAACUCCAGCAGCCGCCAAGGCCGCAUUGUGGGAGGCAACGUGUGCCCCAAAGGGGAGUGUCCAUGGCAGGCUGUGCUGAAAAUCAAUGGGUUAUUGCUGUGUGGGGCCGUCCUGCUGGACGCCAGAUGGAUAGUGACCGCAGCCCACUGCUUCGAUAAUAUCCGCUACUGGGGAAACAUCACAGUGGUGAUGGGUGAACAUGACUUCAGUGAGAAGGAUGGGGAUGAGCAAGUACGACGGGUGACACAGGUCAUCAUGCCCGACAAGUACAUCCGCGGCAAGAUCAACCACGACAUUGCCCUGCUCCGCCUUCACCGGCCUGUGACCUUCACUGACUACGUGGUGCCCCUGUGUCUGCCUGAAAAGUCCUUCUCCGAGAACACCCUAGCCAGAAUCCGCUUCUCAAGGGUCAGUGGCUGGGGCCAGCUACUGGACCGUGGUGCCACAGCCCUGGAACUCAUGUCCAUCGAGGUGCCCCGGCUGAUGACCCAGGACUGUCUGGAGCACGCCAAGCACAGCUCUAACACCCCCAAAAUCACAGAGAACAUGUUCUGCGCUGGCUACAUGGAUGGUACCAAGGACGCCUGCAAGGGUGACAGCGGUGGCCCACAUGCCACGCACUACCAUGGCACAUGGUAUCUGACAGGUGUGGUCAGCUGGGGGGAGGGCUGUGCAGCUAUUGGUCACAUUGGGGUGUACACCAGGGUCUCCCAGUACAUAGACUGGCUGGUCAGACACAUGGACUCCAAGCUCCAGGUUGGGGUUUUCCGACUCCCACUACUGUAGCUCCUUGGAUAGCCCAACCCGUCCCAAGAAGGAAGCUACGGCCUGUGAAGCUGUUCUAUGGACUUUCCUGCUAUUCUUGUGUAAGGGAAGAGAAUGAGAUAAAGAGAGAGUGAAGAAAGCAGAGGGGGAGGUAAAUGAGAGAGGCUGGGAAAGGGGAAACAGAAAGCAGGGCCGGGGGAAGAGUCUAAGUUAGAGACUCACAAAGAAACUCAAGAGGGGCUGGGCAGUGCAGUCACAGUCAGGCAGCUGAGGGGCAGGGUGUCCCUGAGGGAGGCGAGGCUCAGGCCUUGCUCCCGUCUCCCCGUAGCUGCCUCCUGUCUGCAUGCAUUCGGUCUGCAGUACUACACAGUAGGUAUGCACAUGAGCACGUAGGACACGUGAAUGUGCCGCAUGCAUGUGCGUGCCUGUGUGUCCAUCAUUGGCACUGUUGCUCACUUGUGCUUCCUGUGAGCACCCUGUCUUGGUUUCAAUUAAAUGAGAAACAUGGUCUCCA